rnacentral:misc_RNA from 1 species
GGAAGAUCACAAGGGCUGUAGGGCGCAUCAAGAUUGGGCUGCAGAGUAAGUUGUUCUUGGGGAAUCUGCAGGCGUCGAGGGAUUGGGGUUUUGCAGGGGACUACGUGGAAGCCAUGUGGAUGAUGCUGCAGCAAGACCAACCCGAUGAUUAUGUGGUUGCGACGGAGGAAUCACACACGGUGGAGGAGUUUCUGGAGGUUGCA